GGGAUGCACAACUUAGGCAGCUCUCUUGGCUGCCUCGUGGUUUGGAUGCUGAGAUCUUGGACCAAGCAGAUCAGCAGUGUGGGACAUAGUUCAGCUUUCCCAGACUCUUAAGAUAAAUUUCCCGUGGUUGCAGACAGAAGGAAUUGCAGAGAGGCUUGCAGACAGCAGCGGCACUUUCUUCCAAAGGCGAAAAGAAGCCCAGCUCCAAUCUACAAAACCCUGCAGCAGUGGAGUCAAGAGCAAGAACUACGGAAGGGAGAGGCCCACAAACACAAGAUGGAGAAGUGAAGCUCUGCCAAGACCACACUCCGCAAUAGAAGCCUCUCCCAGAUACAUGCUAAGCUUCAAGUAAACAGCCUAUUAGCACUGCCUAGCCAGCCACAGGAUAAAGAAAGCAGAUCUUGCCAAAGCACUACAUGCUUGACUGGAGUUAUCAGGACUGGGCAACAAACUGGGCAUGAACUGGGAUGCGCCUGAUUGCAACUCUUAGCAGUGGUACUCUGUAGCUCCUCGACACCAUAAUCAUAGCUCAGCUAGACCUGAGGAGCAUUGAAAAUAACCAUCAGAAAAGACUGAGACAGGAAAACACAGACCAUCCAGCUAUCUAAUUAGAAUAAUUCCUGAGAAGAGAGCCUGUAAAUUCCUGGGCCUGUAUCCUGUAGAGAAAGAUCCUCCCUGCUUCCUCCAACCCCACCCAAGAAGAAGCUGCAUAAAUGAGGUAACGUGUCUCCAAAGGGCCAUGUUAGCAGUUAGUGGCUAUGGAGGAAGGUCUUUGGCAAAAGAGCUAGUGAAAGGAGGAGGGUCCACAUUCUGAAUCAUCAUCUGGAGGUCUGUGAUCACAAAAGAUGAGUGUUCAGUCCAUUUGCCAGAGAAGCCACACAAAAUUAUCAGGAAAGGAUGUGUUUGUGUUUAAUCUUGCAGGAUUACUGUAGAAACCAGGGAGAGAUGACCAAGAGAACUGCCAGUAACCAGAAGCCAAAUUCAAGUUUUGGCUGCUACUGCAGGUUCUUGCAUUAUUCAAAUGCCUUUGGGGUAGCUGUUCAUAUAAAUGUUCAUGUUUACUUCGAAUAGAAGAUACCACCAUCUCAUUUCAGUGCUGCAAAGAACCCAGGGAACCCACCCAAAGGAAAAACAUUCAUAAAAAGUCAGCUUACCUGCUAA